AUUGAACGCUGGCGGCAUGCCUUACACAUGCAAGUCGAACGGCAGCACGGGUGCUUGCACCUGGUGGCGAGUGGCGAACGGGUGAGUAAUAUAUCGGAACGUACCUUAUUGUGGGGGAUAACGCAGCGAAAGCUGUGCUAAUACCGCAUAAUCCCUAAGGGGGAAAGCGGGGGACCGUAAGGCCUCGCGCAAUUAGAGCGGCCGAUACCUGAUUAGCUAGUUGGUGAGGUAAAGGCUCACCAAGGCAACGAUCAGUAGCUGGUCUGAGAGGACAAUCAGCCACACUGGGACUGAGGCAUGGCCCAGACUCCUACGGGAGGCAGCAGUGGGGAAUUUUGGACAAUGGGGGCAACCCUGAUCCAGCAGUGCCGCGUGAGUGAAGAAGGCCUUCGGGUUGUAAAGCUCUUUUGUCAGGGAAGAAACAGCAGCUCUAACACAGUUUGCGAAUGACGGUACCUGAAGAAUAAGCACCGGCUAACUACGUGCCAGCAGCCGCCGUAA
rnacentral:rRNA from 1 species